ACACAUGCAAGUCGAGCGGGGGAAGGUAGCUUGCUACUGGACCUAGCGGCGGACGGGUGAGUAAUGCUUAGGAAUCUGCCUAUUAGUGGGGGACAACAUCUCGAAAGGGAUGCUAAUACCGCAUACGUCCUACGGGAGAAAGCAGGGGAUCUUCGGACCUUGCGCUAAUAGAUGAGCCUAAGUCGGAUUAGCUAGUUGGUGGGGUAAAGGCCUACCAAGGCGACGAUCUGUAGCGGGUCUGAGAGGAUGAUCCGCCACACUGGGACUGAGACACGGCCCAGACUCCUACGGGAGGCAGCAGUGGGGAAUAUUGGACAAUGGGCGCAAGCCUGAUCCAGCCAUGCCGCGUGUGUGAAGAAGGCCUUAUGGUUGUAAAGCACUUUAAGCGAGGAGGAGGCUACUUUAGAUAAUACCUAGAGAUAGUGGACGUUACUCGCAGAAUAAGCACCGGCUAACUCUGUGCCAGCAGCCGCGGUAAUACAGAGGGUGCAAGCGUUAAUCGGAUUUACUGGGCGUAAAGCGCGCGUAGGCGGCUAAUUAAGUCAAAUGUGAAAUCCCCGAGCUUAACUUGGGAAUUGCAUUCGAUACUGGUUAGCUAGAGUGUGGGAGAGGAUGGUAGAAUUCCAGGUGUAGCGGUGAAAUGCGUAGAGAUCUGGAGGAAUACCGAUGGCGAAGGCAGCCAUCUGGCCUAACACUGACGCUGAGGUGCGAAAGCAUGGGGAGCAAACAGGAUUAGAU
rnacentral:rRNA from 1 species